rnacentral:rRNA from 1 species
GACGAACGCUGGCGGCGUGCUUAAUACAUGCAAGUCGAGCGAACUCCAACCACUCGCAAGAGUGGGGACGAGUUAGCGGCGAACGGGUGAGUAACACGUGAGGAACCUGCCCUGGAGACCGGGAUAACUCCCCGAAAGGGGUGCUAAUACCGGAUGCCCUCAAUGGAUCGCAUGGUCUGCUGAGGAAAUGGGAUUCCGCUCCAGGAGGGCCUCGCGGCCUAUCAGCNGUUGGUGAGGUAACGCUCACCAAGCGUCGACGGUAGCUGGUCUGAGAGGACGAUCAGGCCA